CCGAGAUUCAUUGAUCUUCUGUUUAUGUUGCAGUUUUUUCUUCAGGAUAAGGUCCAGUCGUCACUACCACACAGUGAUUGUGAAAUCCCCCUCGAAGCAAUUCACCAGUAAAUGCUCUGAAUAUUCCUGUCAUCUUUGAAUUGAAGAAGAGUUUCCAGAAGUUCAGGACAAACUUCAAGUGUGUCAUCAAUUUCUGACAUACUAGUGCAAAGAUGGAUUUUAUUAAAGAGGAGAGAGAGGACAUGGGUUAUCCAGAAACACACAGAGUGAAAAAGGAAGAAACUGAGGAACAAAUAGACCUGAUGCAAAUGAAAGAGGAAAGUAAAGAACUGGAUGAAAUGGAGGAGAAACAUCAGUAUUGGACACCUAAUAAUUCAGAAAAUUAUUCCUCACAAAAAAGAAGUCAAAAGGCUAAAGGCAAAGGAUCAUGCCUUCAGUAUAAAAUGAAUUUCAGUCAAAAAGGACAACUUAAGAAUCACAUGAGAAUUCACACUACAGAGAGGCCUUUCAUAUGCCUUCAGUGUGGAAAGAGUUUCACUCGUGCAGACAGCCUUAAGAAGCACAUACUAACUCACUCUGAAGAGAAGCCUUUCCAGUGUCCUAUGUGUGAAAAGAGUUACUGUUGUAAUCGAGACCUUAAGAGGCACAAAGUUACUCACUCCGGAGAGAAGCCUUUCACAUGCCAUGAGUGUGGAAAGAGUUUCACUCGUGCAGACAGCCUCAAGAAGCACAAACUAACUCACUCUGGAGAGAAGCCUUUCCAGUGUCCUAUGUGUGAAAAGAGUUACAGUUGUAAUCGAGACCUUAAGAGGCACAUAGUCACUCACUCCGGAGAGAAGCCUUUUACAUGCCAUGAGUGUGGAAAGAGUUUCACUCGCGCAGACAGACAUAAGAAGCACAAACUAACUCACUCUGGAGAGAAGCCUUUCCAGUGCCCUAUGUGUGAAAAUAGUUACUGUUGUAAUCAAGACCUUAAGAAGCACAAAACCAUUCACUCUAGUAAGAAGCAUUUCGUAUGCCUUCAGUGUGGAAAGAGUUUCAAAUGUAAAGCUUAUCUUAUUAGUCAUGCAAAGAUUCACACUGAAGAGAAGCCUUUCACAUGCCUCCAGUGUGGAACGAGAUUCAAAUACAAAGUAAACCUUAAUAGGCACAUGGGAAUUCACACUGGUGAAAAGCCAUACACAUGCCUUCAGUGUGGAAAAAGUUUCACACGUAAAGGUGACCUUAUUGUUCACUGGAGAAUUCACACUGGUGAGAUGCCAUACACAUGCCUUCAUUGCAAAAAGAGUUUUAAUCGUAAUCAUCAUUUAAAGCGUCAUGCAAGGAUUCACACUGAAGAGAAGCCUUUCACAUGCCUCCAGUGUGGAACAAGAUUCAAACACAAAGCAAACCUUAAUAGGCACAUGGGAAUUCACACUGGUGAGAAGCCAUACACAUGCCUUCAUUGUGGAAAUAGUUUCACACGGAAAGGUGACCUUAUUGUUCACUGGAGAAUUCACACUGGUGAGAUGCCAUACACAUGCCUUCAUUGCAAAAUGAGUUUUAAUCGUAAUCAUCAUUUAAAGCGUCAUGCAAGGAUUCACACUGAAGAGAAGCCUUUCAUGGCCUAAAGUGUGGAAAGAGUUUCUCAUGUUCAAAAAGUCUCAAAAAUCAUCUGCACUCUCAGCACACUGGAGUAAAGUUAAUGUGCUCAGUGUGGGGAAAAGUUUUGACAUCACAUCUAAAGACACACAUGUAAAUGAAGGUCAAAGAAAAACCUGUGAUCACAGAGUGGAAAGAGCUUCAGUCAGCCAGGAGCCCUGAAAGUGCACGAGAGAUUACAUCCUCUCAUGACGUCACAACAGUGAAGCUACUGCGCCGCCAUCUUGGUAUUCCCUAACGUUCUGUAUUCCUAUGGGUCUCAAUGGGAAAUCGUCUGUUUUGCAGCAUUACGUUCAGCGGCGCACGUGUUACCUCAAUAGAAACAAGUUUAAGAAACUGAGUGCACGCCUGAAACCGGACCAGCUCACGGGCAUCAUUUAUAAAGUGAUCAAUUGGAAUAGACGAGGAGCAAGGCUGAACUGGUAAUCUAGCCUACCGGACAUUUUUCCGGUGGACCGACGCACUUUGGGGUCGAUCAGGGUGGACUGGCCAUCGGGAGAACCGAGCGGGCCGCUGUGUCGGCCGCGAUGAUCUAAAACGAGCCGCCGCCGAACACUCUCCCCCCAACAACUUUUGGCCAGUUAUGUCAAAUCCCGGGCCGAUUUCUCUUUUCAGUCCAGCUCUGACAAGGAGCACAUGGAUAUUGUUGAAGUUAAACAAGGUUGAACACGUUUGCCUCAAGUUCCUUGAAUGCAGAACCACCAUGGAGAUCCAGAACAUUUGUGGGGACAGAGAUGGGCCUUAUGAGUGUGUGCUGUUGAAGAAAUCUCUCAGCUGUCUUGCAGACUUUCAGGACGCUGUCUGACGGUCUUAUAAAUCCACCUCAGGACUUCAUGUCGAUCAGUGUGUUCAUCUUGGGAAGAGCUCUCGACACUGAGUGCUGAUAAACAGGUAGUGCACAGAAUCAUCUUCAUAGUUGUUUUAACUGUACAGUGAUGUUUUUCUCUGUGUCUUCUGUUUCAGGCUGAACGUCACUGCCUGAAAUGCAUAUCAGAAGAUGUUGCCUCCAGUGUCACUGUGAUAUCCGGUGGAGAACUGUUGCCACUAGCUCUGAUGGCAUGUCUUGCUACCAUUCUUUUGAAAGCUGAAUAAUGUUGGAUUGUUGUUAAAUCCAUUAGCAGAUUUGUUCCCACAUAUCUGCAAAUUUUUAUUGUAUUGUUCAGUUUAAGUUAAUUUUUGUAUGUACUUGGAACCUUUUGUUAUUGAACAAAUAAGUAUGAUUUCCUUGAGUGUGCAUAUGUCAAUAAACUUAUUUCUAAUUAUGAUU